UGCUGGACAUCUUGGUCUUUACAAAAACUGCAGUAUGACUUUACUCAGACAAAGCCCAGUUAGGAGUGUGGGGGCUUGGGAGUCUGGGGGGGGAACCCCUCAAGGCUAUCCCCAGAGAAUUCUAGGCCUCUCUCACUGUCCUGUCACUCUCAGUGGCUUACUGUUUCCUUAGAAUUUGUCCACUGAAAUAUAUAGUCUUUUUUUUUCCUUUCAAGUUUAAGUUUGUAUUAUCAUUAAAGAAACCUUGAAGAAACCAGGAGCUGGUGGCUCACGCCUGUAAUCCUAGCUACUCAGAAACCUGAGACUGAGGAUCGCAAUUCAAAGCCAGACCAGGCAAAAAAGUCCACAAGACUCUUAUUCCCAAUUAACAAGCAAAAAUCCAGACAUGGAGAUGUGGCUCAAGUGGUAGAGCACUAGACUGGAGCGAAAAAGCUGAGAGCACAAGACCUAGCUCAAGCUGUAGUACUAGCACACACAUAUACAUACACACACACAAAUAUUGAAGAAGCUGUAUUUUUUUUCCUAAUUGGAAUAGAAUGAGUUACAAUAGUUGCACCUCUUCUCCAAAACACAGUCCAAAUUUGUGAGGCCAGCCGGCAUUGCUGUGGUAUUCAAGAGGUACUUAAAUUUUAGCUCCUUAAUCCCCUAACUUUACUCCCAGCAUCAGAUUCAGGUACUUGAUCCCCUUCCUCCAUCUUGCUCAUCUCUACUGUGUAGAGCC